rnacentral:rRNA from 1 species
UACGUAGGGUGCGAGCGUUGUCCGGAAUUACUGGGCGUAAAGAGCUCGUAGGUGGUUUGUCGCGUUGUCCGUGAAAACUCACAGCUUAACUGUGGGCGUGCGGGCGAUACGGGCAGACUGGAGUACUGCAGGGGAGGACUGGAAUUCCUGGUGUAGCGGUGGAAUGCGCAGAUAUCAGGAGGAACACCGGUGGCGAAGGCGGGUC